rnacentral:rRNA from 1 species
UACGUAGGGUGCAAGCGUUGUCCGGAAUUUAUUGGGCGUAAAGAGCUCGUAGGCGGUCUGUCGCGUCGGCUGUGAAAUCCCGAGGCUCAACCUCGGGUCUGCAGGCGAUACGGGCAGACUGGAGUACUGCAGGGGAGACUGGAAUUCCUGGUGUAGCGGUGGAAUGCGCAGAUAUCAGGAGGAACACCGGUGGCGAAGGCGGGUCUCUGGGCAGUAAACUGACGCUGGAGGAGCGAAAGCGUGGGGAGCGAACAGG